rnacentral:rRNA from 1 species
CUUUACUGUAGCCUGGUAUUGGGUUCGGGCUUUGACCGCGCAGGAUAGGUGGGAGACUGAGAAGUGUGCCUUGUGGGGCACAUAGAGUCAACGGUGAGAUACCACUCUGUCAGAGCUAGAAUUCUAACCUUCACCCGUGAUCCGGGGAAGGAACCGUAUCAGGUGGGCAGUUUGACUGGGGCGGUCGCCUCCUAAAAGGUAACGGAGGCGCGCAAAGGUGUUCUCAGGCUGGUUGGAAAUCGGCCGUAGAGUGUAAAGGCAGAAGAACGCUUGACUGUGAGAGUGACAACUCAAGCAGGGUGGAAACACGGCCUUAGUGAUCCGACGGUAUGCGCGUGGAAGUGCCGUCGCUCAACGGACAAAAGUUA